UACAGGGGGGGCAAGCGUUGUUCGGAAUUACUGGGCGUAAAGGGUUCGUAGGUGGCCAACUAAGUCAGACGUGAAAUCCCUCAGCUCAACUGGGGAACUGCGUCUGAAACUGGGUGGCUUGAGUGCAGGAGAGGAACGCGGAAUUCCCGGUGUAGCGGUGAAAUGCGCAGAUAUCGGGAGGAACACCUAUGGCGAAGGCGGCUCACUGGCCCGGUACUGACGCUGAGGUGCGAAAGCGUGGGGAGCAAACAGG
rnacentral:rRNA from 1 species